UGAAUACGAGAUGCUACGGCGUCGAAGCAGUCUAUGUCAUACUUCCAAGAAAAGCUCGCACUGUCAUAAACAAAUAAUGCCUGUACCAUAACCGACACAGGUGGGUAGGUAGAGUAUACUAAGGGGCGCGAGAUAACUCUCUCUAAGGAACUCGGCAAAAUGACUCCGUAACUUCGGGAGAAGGAGUGCCUUAUUUAUAAGGUUGCAAUAACAAGAUCCAAGCAACUGUUUAUCAAAAACACAGGUCUCCGCUAAGUCGUAAGACGAUGUAUGGGGGCUGACGCCUGCCCAGUGCCAGAAGGUUAAAGAAGUUGGUUAGCAUUCGCGAAGCUGAUAACUGAAGCCCUGGUGAACGGCGGCCGUAACUAUAACGGUCCUAAGGUAGCGAAAUUCCUUGUCGGGUAAGUUCCGACCCGCACGAAAGGCGUAAUGAUUUGGAUACUGUCUCGGAGAGGGGCUCGGUGAAAUAGACUUGUCUGUGAAGAUGCGGACUACCUGCACCUGGACAGAAAGACCCUAUGAAGCUUUACUGUAACUUGAGAUUGAAAUUGGACUUUACUUGCGCAGUAUAGGUGGGAGGCGUUGAUAAUAUUCUUGCGGGAUUAUUUGAGCCAUCAGUGAGAUACCACUCUUGUAAUGUUAGAUUUCUAACUUUGUAUCAUUAUCUGGUCAAAGGACAGUUUCAGGCGGGCAGUUUGACUGGGGCGGUCGCCUCCUAAACGGUAACGGAGGCGCACAAAGGUUUCCUCUGAACGGGUAGAAAUCGUAUCUAGAGUGUAAAGGCAUAAGGAAGCUUGACUGUGAGACCUACAAGUCGAGCAGGGACGAAAGUCGGUCUUAGUGAUCUGACGGUGCUGAGUGGAAAGGCCGUCACUCAACGGAUAAAAGUUACUCUAGGAUAACAGGCUGAUCUCCCCCAAGAGUUCACAUCGACGGGGAGGUUUGGCACCUCGAUGUCGGCUCAUCGCAUCCUGGGGCGGUAGUACGUCCCAAGGGUUGGGCUGUUCGCCCAUGAAAGCGGUACGCGAGCUGGGUUCAGAACGUCGUGAGACAGUUCGGUCCAUAUCCGGUGUAGGCGUUAGAAUAUUGAGAGGAGCCUUCUUUAGUACGAGAGGACCGAGAAGGACAUACCUCUGGUGUACCAGUUAUCGUGCCAACGGUAAACGCUGGGUAGCUAUGUAUGGAGUGGAUAACCGCUGAAAGCAUCUAAGUGGGAAGCCCACCUCAAGAUAAGUAUUCUC
rnacentral:rRNA from 1 species